rnacentral:rRNA from 1 species
CGGACGGGUGAGUAACGCGUAGGAAUCUACCUGGUAGUGGGGGACAACAUGGGGAAACCCAUGCUAAUACCGCAUACGCCCUAUGGGGGAAAGCGGGGGACCUUCGGGCCUCGCGCUAUCAGAUGAGCCUGCGUAGGAUUAGCUUGUUGGUGAGGUAAAGGCUCACCAAGGCGACGAUCCUUAGCUGGUCUGAGAGGAUGAUCAGCCACACUGGAACUGAGGCACGGUCCAG